UUGAGCCUCGGAUCAGGUAGGAAUACCCGCGAACUAAUGUAUUCUGGU
rnacentral:rRNA from 1 species